rnacentral:rRNA from 1 species
CUACGGAGGGUGCAAGCGUUAUCCGGAAUCACUGGGUUUAAAGGGUGCGUAGGCGGUUAUGUAAGUCAGGGGUGAAAGGUCACAGCUUAACUGUGAGAUUGCCUUUGAAACUGUGUAACUUGAAUCAGAUAGAGGUUAGUGGAAUGCGACAUGUAGCGGUGAAAUGCAUAGAUAUGUCGUGGAAUACCGAUUGCGAAGGCAGCUAACUGGGUCUUGAUUGACGCUGAGGCACGAAAGCGUGGGGAGCGAACAGGAUUAGAUACCCUGGUAGUCCACGCCCUAAACGAUGUUAACUCGAUGUUUGUCCGUACGGAUGAGCGUUUAAGGGAAACCGAUAAGUUAACCACCUGGGGAGUGCGUUCGCAAGAAUGAA